CCGCCCCUCUCAUGUGACCUACGGAGGGGGGAAGGCAGGCCGCGCCGGCCCUGCGCCGCCACCCCCGCCGCCACAGGGUCGCCGGCCGCCGCCGUGCUGCCUCCUCCCCUCAGGGGGCGGUGGCUCCCCGGCCGUGCCAUGCGGCGGAGCCGGCCUGGAGCGAGGACCCCUUCUCCCGCCUUCCCGCUACUCCUGUUCGGUGCUCCCUCCCCGGCAGGUUUCGCACGGUGCGGCCUGGCAGCGCUGAGGACUCUAACACGGCUUCCCUGAGUCAAAGUAUCUGUGUGAUUUCUUAAGUCCUCAGUAAAGAUCUUCAGUGAGAUACCACUGGAGUUGGGAUAUCAGCAGCCUCCAAAGUCUGUAAAGGCUGGCAUGGGACAGAGCACUGUCUAGGAAGCUGUGUUGAGAGCACUCACCUCUUGACACCGCUGCUAAUAGGUGGUUGUUACAGACCAUUUUGCUGAGAGCUGAGGUUUGGCUCUGACACCUGCUCUGGUUAUAAAGAGUUUUACCUCACCUAGAAAUCAUAAACAACACAGACCUUUAAAAUAUUCCUAUUUCAUAUUUCAAAUUAAACAUUGUUAUGUUUAGUAAGUGUAUGUAUAAAAAGGAUAUGAUUACAUAAAACAGAAGCAUUACCUUGAUAAGAGAUUUAUUUUGAAAUGUGUGUCUAUAAAGUGCAAUUACAGAAUGGUUUUAAAUCUGAAUUCAGAUGAACUGACAGUGGGCUUUGAAUACUUUUGCACACUGAGCAAACUGUUAAUUUACAUUAGAGGGGAAUUUGGUUCAUGAGAAAAAUUCUGGUUAUAUAUCCAGGUUGUUUGCUUUCAUUUAAUCUGUGUUGGUUUACACCUUUACAUAAAAUAUAUUCCUUUAUUUUGUUAUUUUUGUUUGUCAGUAUAAUAUUUUUAUCUCUUUCCUAUAUUUCAGUAUAACUUAAUAUACUUUAGCUGUAAGUAAAAUUCUAGUGCAAAAUAAAAGACAGCCCAAUCGCUAAUUCUAAUAGCAGAGAAGAGUGAGCCGUGGAGAACAGUCCUCUUCCCACCAGUUCAGUGCAAAAUUCCUGUUGACUUCAUGGAAGCAUUACCAGGUUUUAAAAUUCUUCAUAUUAAAAUGAUUUUUUGAUGCAAGCAAGGUAUGAAAAAAAGUCUGUCCUAGUUAUAAGUGAUCAGCUGAGAUAUUUUAUACAGACUUCAUGGUGAAAUCAGACAAUUCUAAACUUGUGAGAUAAGCAAAAUGUGCUUUAUUAUUGACUUAAGC